rnacentral:sRNA from 1 species
AUGUACCACUCGUACACUCCGGUUCUGAGCGCGCUGUCUGCACUAACCUGACGACCGCUCGCUACGUUUUAUUAGCC